rnacentral:misc_RNA from 1 species
CAGAGUUAUCUAACUCCCAAACCCAUGUGAACUUACCAUUUGUUGCCUCGGCAGAGCCUACCCGGUACCUACCCUGGAGCAGCUACCCUGUAGCUACCCUGGAGCGGGUUACCCUGUAGCGUCCUGCCGGUGGACCUUUAAACUCUUGUUAUUUUAUAGUAAUCAGAGCGUCUUAUUUUAAUAAGUCA